UUUUGAUUGAAUAUGAGCAAUAAAUUAUCAAACGAUUGCAUUGCCAUCUAGUGACUUCAUCUAGUGACUUUAAGCAAAGCAAAAGAAAAUGGCGUCCGAAAUGUUUUCAUUUUACGCUCAUAAUAAUGGAAAAUACUCUUUGGCACAAGUAAAAAAUUAUUGUCAGACACUAGGAAAUUUCGAUACAGAAGUAUUCUUGUGGUACACAAAGACAUCAUAUGUGAAUCAAAGGAAAGAAAAGUCUCGAGAAGGAAGAAACGUGUUUACGAGACUACCGCGGUUGUCACAUCAACUCAACAAAUAGCGAAAAUCAACGAGAUCGGUAGACUAAUCUCGGAUAAUGUCAAGCAUGUCAAGUGAUAAUUUAUCGUGUUCAAUUGCAACAAAUGAGGAAACAAUUUUCUCGUGUGAAUACUUUCUUCAAUAUUUCAACUUCGGCCAACUGAAAGUCAAAGUGAAAGUAAAAAUCCAGGAAAUACAGGAAACGACUGGAAAAUAGCUUUUGGUGUUCGUUUUAAUGGAGAAAGAGGUCGGAUACAGUAAAAUGC